rnacentral:rRNA from 1 species
UUGAAAAGGCACUUUUGUGCCGUUGUUAUUGUCUGAAGUUAGGGUCCUGAGAAACGAUGCUUAAGUCUUCUGGAAAGGAGCGCCAUGGAGGGUGAUAGCCCCGUCUAGCAUUGACCUCAUAUAGGAUCUUAACAUGGAGUCGAGUUGUUUGGGGAAUUGCCGCCUCAAAUGGGUUGGUUAUGCCUCCCAUCUAAAGCCUAAAAUAUCUGGGA